GUUAGGACUUACUGUAUUUGAUUUGUAUACAAAGGCUAUGGGAUUAUAUUUACUCCCUCACAACAGUCCUAUGAGGUAAGUAUAGGACCCCUAUUUCUCAUAGGAGGCUCUGUAGCUUAGACAAGUGAAGCAACAAGCUAAGGUCACAUAUGCUGAGAGAUGAACCAAAGUCUGACCAACUCGGGAUCCUGCCAUGCUAAGUGCUCUUUGUCCUCUACUAACUGCUGACAGUUAAGCUACAUAUUAAAGAAUGAAGAGUUCACGAGAUGGGACCAUCUAGUUGCAGGAAAACAAGCUCAGGGCUUCACUGAUUCUACAUUAUGAAUAGUCCAUCAAGCCUCAGAAGUUUUACCAUGAAAACAAUAAUACUGUUCGGACAAUGUGUUCUCAAUAGGCUUAUUGGUAACUUCUUUAUUGAUCAAACCUGAAUCUCUGGUAACAUGAAGAAUUGAAAACAUCUGGAUUCUGUUAGAAGCAUGGAACUCACUUGGGAAACUGGCUGCUAGUGUAUUGGACAUUCACAGCACAGCACUACCCCUGUGGUUUUAUAAAUAAACAUGAAACUCAAAUCUCCAAAACAACCACUAAGGCCUCUAAACCAAAACACCUCUGCCUGGGCAGAGGUGGCAAAGCAGUGGUUAACAUACGUCCCUAAUGUCAUUCAUUAGUAAUAUUUAAUUAUUUGUUUCAGUCACUCUGAAUAAAAUAGUUUGUUAAUUAUAGAUAAAAUCUCCUCUUUCUCUAUCAAUUUUUAUUUUGAGAGUUUAAUUCAUACUUUCCAGCAUCUCCUAAGAGCUUUUCUCUAUCGUCCCAAUCAAGUGAUCUCUCCUAUCUUGCUGUAAUCAACAAGAUGAUUUUUCUCCACUUCCACAAUUUUCUGUCUCUCAUUUAUGACUUUGAAAUCAGUAUGUCUUUCCCCGAUCUUUGCUACAAUAAACAAGCCUCUCUAACA
rnacentral:lncRNA from 10 species